rnacentral:rRNA from 1 species
UGAGGAAUAUUGGUCAAUGGACGAGAGUCUGAACCAGCCAAAUCGCGUGAAGGAAGACUGCCCUACGGGUUGUAAACUUCUUUUGUACAGGAAUAAAAGACAUUACGUGUAAUGUAUUGCAUGUACUGUACGCAUAAGCAUCGGCUAACUCCGUGCCAGCAGCCGCGGUAAUACGGAGGAUGCGAGCGUUAUCCGGAUUUAUUGGGUUUAAAGGGUGCGCAGGCGGGAUUUUAAGUCAGCGGUGAAAUUUUCAGGCUCAACCUGAACACUGCCGUUGAAACUGGGAUUCUUGAGUAUGGAUGAAGUAGGCGGAAUUCGUUGUGUAGCGGUGACAUGCUUAGAUAUAACGAGGAACUCCGAUUGCGUAGGCAUCUUACUAAGCCAUAACUGACGCUCAAGCACGAA